rnacentral:rRNA from 1 species
AACGAACGCUGGCGGCAGGCUUAACACAUGCAAGUCGAACGCCCCGCAAGGGGAGUGGCAGACGGGUGAGUAACGCGUGGGAAUCUACCUAGUUCUACGGAACAACAGAGGGAAACUUCUGCUAAUACCGUAUACGCCCUAAGGGGGAAAGAUUUACCGGAAUUAGAUGAGCCCGCGUAAGAUUAGCUAGUUGGUGGGGUAAUGGCCUACCAAGGCGACGAUCUUUAGCUGGUCUGAGAGGAUGACCAGCCACACUGGGACUGAGACACGGCCCAGACUCCUACGGGAGGCAGCAGUGGGGAAUAUUGGACAAUGGGCGCAAGCCUGAUCCAGCCAUGCCGCGUGAGUGAUGAAGGCCCUAGGGUUGUAAAGCUCUUUCAGUGGGGACGAUAAUGACGGUACCCACAGAAGAAGCCCCGGCUAACUUCGUGCCAGCCGCCGCCGUAACAC